GCUUCUGAUUUCCCCCCUGUCAAGAGCUGGUAAUUAAUCUAAGUUCAGACUUUUCUCACUGCAAGACAAAGAGCAAAUCAAGUGUCCCUCUUUAUGCAGCAUAAAAGAAGUUCCAUGUUGACAAGUUUCACUGUGUUAAAUAUGGUGAAUUAGACCUGGUUUGCUGCUAUCUUUUACACUGAUGGCACUCCAGAGAAUCCAAACAACGGGGACAGCAUCAUACAGAAAUAACAAUUUCAGGCCACAGGGUCUCCCUUUAAUUUGUGUGUGCUGGUGGAUGCUUAAUUGCCAUUGCAAGUAAGCUGACUACUCUGGAACAUUCUUUUUCUUCCACAGCAUGUAUAGGUGUUUGCAUGUAUGUGCACUUUUGUGUGUUUCUAGCUAUGUGCAAUACAUUUGCCUUCUGUCAGCUCCUUAUUCCCAGCCCUUUGGAGCCAUACCUCAGUUAGGCUUAGUGAAAGAGAGUGAUGCUGUAGUGGUGCUGUUGCUAUUGCACAUAUGUAUUCUUUGAACAGGCUUCUGAUUUCUUUUGCUGCUAAUGGGUAAUUUAGCAGAAGAUGAAACAAAGAAAUAGCUUUAUGUAUGGCACACCAAGAUGCACUGGCUGGCAGAAACAGGUGAGCGUGCAGCUGAUUGCCUGGGACUAGCCCUUUUUGUGUGGCUGAGACAAUGUUUGCGUAAGUAUAUGUCUGUCUCUAUCAGGCAAGUAUUAUGGGGUGUACUUGAAAGCAUUUAAAAAUGGUUUUGUUGUCUUUUUGUUGUCUUCUGAUGGGGGAGAUGGUGGUGGGAUACCAUUGUCUGCAUAGGUCAGUGAAAGGAAAGAAUGAAUGAUGAGAACUGUGAUGUGUUCUUCAAACCUCUCUGAAGAAGGCAGUACUGGCAGAAGUGAGGGCAUGACUUGCCAUUCUUAUUUUAGUACUUAUUUUAGGAGUAUCAAGUCAUCUAACAUCUCUGCUCUUCGCUGAUUUCUUUUACAGAUUGCCACUCCCCCAGAAGCUUUGUGGCUGCUGAGGGAAACAGCCUUCUAGAACAUGCCUUUCCAGGGAGUCCUGCCUGAGGCUCCAGCUUUGCCUAAGCAAUCCUGAAUGAUUUUGCUCUUGUUCUGUGCUACACCUCCUGUGAUUAUUCCUGCUCAGACAGCACUGCACUGCAAGCGAUGUUCCACAGUUACUUAGGUAAUGAUUCUGUGAGCUGUCUUCCUGCCAGCCAGGUUUCUAAGCUGAGUUGAAAGCAGACUUCCAAGAGAAACCAGCUUCCAAAAGUUCCCAUUAUGAGUCAGUGGUCAGACCGGUGGAGGAAAAUUGGAAAUUCAAGCCAUUUAUUUUGGACAAUAAAUGCAGUGUAAGCUUUUUGAGGCAACCUGCUCUCUUCCAGUUCCAUACAAAGAAGCACUUGAAUAUUUGAGAUACAGGUAAUUCCAGUGCUGAAACUGUCAAAUAAGGCUGCAGCAGCCCCACCUUAUCUGACAGCCGUGCAAAUAUGGGAGUCAACAGACAAGUCACUGGGCUGCCUAAAGCACCAGGGGGGCAGUGACCCAGUGGGUGGGCUAGCAGAGUUCUGCCCACAGGGAAAUCACUUUAAACACAGUGGUUUUUCCACUCUGCCUAGAGUUCAAGCACUGAAGAUGUUCUCAGUGUGAUGCAGAAAUUCAUAUGCUGAAACCACAGCUGUAGCCACGAGGGCUGUCCUCUUCCAAAACACAGGAAGCAUCAGCAGCUGCCUGUCAAAAAACUGCCUGGAAUGAGAUGUGAGUGAAAUCAGAAUCAGGACUACUGUAUGCAGUUGAUCAUAAAUAAUGCUGUCUUGGUAAUGGUUGCAAUUAGUUAUAAACUUAAAUCAUUUCUAGCGUUUCCAUGUUGGCCAAUUAUGCUACAGAAAUUAUCAAGUAACCCAUAGCACAUUAGCUUUCUGUAAUGCCAUUGUUCAGAGGUACUCAGUUCACCAGAUCCUCACCAGGAUGAAUUAUCGUCGCCCUGUGAAGCACAAUGGUGCUGUGCUGAUUUACACUGGCUGAAAAACUGUCGCUUUGUCUGCUGGAGUUGUAGCAGGAGCUAGUUGAAAUCACGGCUUUGCAGGGAGACUCUUAGGACCCAGCUGCAUAGAAAUAAUAGUAUGUGUGUUUUUUCUCUCCCUGUGCAGAUGACUUAUUAGAUGACAACAGUAAUUUCUAGGUCUGGUGGUAGUUCAACAAUAAGCUGAAAUUGUACUUUAAUAGUGCAAUUUGAAGAUAGGAAAAGGAACACGUAAUUAAUGGUUUCAUCUGACUUCUGAAACAGAGAAACAUAUCAAAUAAGGACAUUGCUUAAACUAGUGCUGAUGGACAGCUUAAAACUUGCUUAUGGACUUGCCCUGCAGCUUAUUCAAAUGCCUUUAGGUUUGAUCUUACAGGGCUGAAAAGGUGUGGUAGGACUACUGUUUGCUGAUGGCAGGUAUGGUUAUUGUGCUGCAGAGACACUUUGUUGUAAGGCUCAGCAAAAUGAAGCAGUACUAUUUGUUACAG